GGACCUAUCUUACAACCAGUUGCCCAACUUGACUCGAGGUGUUCUCAGCACAAACACCAAGCUGAAAGAAAUGGAUUUGUCAAACAACAGGAUUAAGCGCUUGCCCCUGGAUAUCUUUGGCAACCUCACUCAAUUGAAAAGGCUCUUUCUGUCCAGUAACAGAAUUCAGCAUUUGCCAAGGUUCAACAACCUCUCCAAGAUAGAAACAUUGUA